rnacentral:rRNA from 1 species
UACGUAGGGUCCGAGCGUUGUCCGGAAUUAUUGGGCGUAAAGGGCUCGUAGGCGGUCUGUUGCGUCGGGAGUGAAAACUUACAGCUUAACUGUGAGCGUGCUUUCGAUACGGGCAGACUUGAGGCAUUCAGGGGAGAACGGAAUUCCUGGUGUAGCGGUGAAAUGCGCAGAUAUCAGGAGGAACACCAGUGGCGAAGGCGGUUCUCUGGGAAUGUCCUGACGCUGAGGAGCGAAAGUGUGGGGAGCGAACAGG